rnacentral:rRNA from 1 species
CUACGGGCCGCAGCAGUGGGGAAUUUUGGACAAUGGGCGAAAGCCUGAUCCAGCAAUGCCGCGUGUGUGAAGAAGGCCUUCGGGUUGUAAAGCACUUUUGUCCGGAAAGAAAUGGCUCUGGUUAAUACCUGGGGUCGAUGACGGUACCGGAAGAAUAAGGACCGGCUAACUACGUGCCAGCAGCCGCGGUAAUACGUAGGGUCCAAGCGUUAAUCGGAAUUACUGGGCGUAAAGCGUGCGCAGGCGGUUGUGCAAGACCGAUGUGAAAUCCCCGAGCUUAACUUGGGAAUUGCAUUGGUGACUGCACGGCUAGAGUGUGUCAGAGGGGGGUAGAAUUCCACGUGUAGCAGUGAAGUGCGUAGAGAUGUGGAGGAAUACCGAUGGCGAAGGCAGCCCCCUGGGAUAACACUGACGCUCAUGCACGAAAGCGUGGGGAGCAAACAGGAUUAGAUACCCCGGUAGUC